rnacentral:tRNA from 1 species
AUUUAAAUAGUUUAAUAAAAAUAUUGAUUUGUGGAAUCAAAGAUAUACUAAGUAUUUUAAAUU